rnacentral:rRNA from 1 species
AACGAACGCUGGCGGCAGGCCUAACACAUGCAAGUCGAGCGGACCUUUCGGGGUCAGCGGCGGACGGGUGGGUAACGCGUGGGAAUAUGCCCUUCUCUACGGAAUAGUCCUGGGAAACUGGGGGUAAUACCGUAUACGCCCUUUGGGGGUAAGAGUUAUCGGGGAAGGAUUAGCCCGCGUUGGAUUAGGUAGUUGGUGGGGUAAUGGCCUACCAAGCCGACGAUCCAUAGCUGGUUGGAGAGGAUGAUCAGCCACACUGGGACUGAGACACGGCCCAGACUCCUACGCGAGGCAGCAGUAGGGAAUCUUAGACAAUGGGGGCAACCCUGAUCUAGCCAUGCGGCGUGAGUGAUGAAGGCCUUAGGGUUGUAAAGCUCUUUCAGCUGGGAAGAUAAUGACGGUACCAGCAGAAGAAGCCCCGGCUAACUCCGUG